GACGAACGCUGGCGGCGUGCUUAACACAUGCAAGUCGAACGGAAAGACCCUGCUUUUGUGGGGUGCUCGAGUGGCGAACGGGUGAGUAACACGUGAGUAACCUGCCCUUGACUUUGGGAUAACUUCAGGAAACUGGGGCUAAUACCGGAUAGGAGCUCCUGCUGCAUGGUGGGGGUUGGAAAGUUUCGGCGGUUGGGGAUGGACUCGCGGCUUAUCAGCUUGGUGGUGGGGUAGUGGCUUACCAAGGCUUUGACGGGUAGCCGGCCUGAGAGGGUGACCGGCCACAUUGGGACUGAGAUGCGGCCCAGACUCCUACGGGAGGCAGCAGUGGGGUAUAUUGCACAAUGGGCGGAAGCCUGAUGCGGCAACGCCGCGUGCGGGAUGACGGCCUUCGGGUUGUAAACCGCUUUCGCCUGUGACGAAGCGUGAGUGACGGUAAUGGGUAAAGAAGCACCGGCUAACUACGUG
rnacentral:rRNA from 1 species